AAACCGAUGUGUAGUGUACUCUAGAAACAUAGCAGAUAAAUUUCAACGAGAUAGAUUCCUCAAAAUGUCCCUACCACCAGAAAAAAUUACCGAACUAAAGCAAAUCAUUCACUCUCAACUUAAUCAGAUGGAUAUUCAAAACAGAAUCCGAGACAUAUUGUCUGACACAAUUCAACAGGAUUUCAUGGGGCAAUCUGGUAAAGUGGGAGAAGAGGAGCUCCUGCACAAAUUAAAACAGCAGGGAUUGGUUGAUGACAUUCUCCACCAGCUACAGUUCAGAGGUCAACAAGGGGGAACAACUCCUGCCACACACUUCCUAGACAGAGAUGACAAAGUCACACAACUUCCAACAAAGAAAGUAAAUAUUGAUCCAACAAGAAGAUAUGUGUAUUUUCAAAUCAAGGGAGGGAAGGCUUUCUUGGAGCACAUUGAUGAGAGUGACCCCAUGCCUGGACAAGUGUCCUCCUUCUUUAUGUUUCACAUUUACUUCCGUGGUCAGCGGUUCAAAUCCCGGCCCAUUCCUUGUGCCUGUGAGCCUCAGAUAGAUGAAGGGUUCCUGUUGGAACUACACAAAGAGUCAUCUGGUGAAGCAGGCAAGAUGGCUGAUGCUAGCACCAUGUUGUCCAUUAGUGACCCAAUCCACAUUGUGCUGAUCAAAACUGAGGCCUCAGGAGAAACAAGUCUGGUGUCCUCCAACUUCUUUGAGUGGAGAACAGUGCUGGCUUCUUCUGGGAACAGGAUGUCCAUGAUGCUUGAGCUGAAAGGGACAGGGAAUGAAAGCAAGGUGCCAUGUGGGGUUAUUGAGAUCAUGAUGGAACUCUUCCCCAAAUCCACUAAAAACUUUGGACAAGAUGUUGUUGCAGCCCAGAUAAGCCUUGAGAAAAGCCGACAGGCAGAAAGAGAACGGCUUUUCUUGGUCUAUGCAAAACAAUGGUGGAAAGAAUAUCUCCAGAUUAGGCCUGCUCAUCAAGACAGACUUGUCAAAAUAUUUGCACAGGAUGAGAACAUGGUAAACAGACCAGUCAACUCAUUUGUGAAGCCCCUGAGGGGAGGCAGGCUGCUGGACUCUGCCCGACACGCUGCUCGCUUUGUGAGUCUGAUCCAUCAUGAGAAAGUCCAGUCCCUGGGGGGUGGCAGCAAAACCGAGCAAUGGACCAAUGCACAUGCAUUCCUCUGUAGAAACAAAGGGGACUGUGAGGAUCACGCCAUAUUACUGUGCAGCCUUUUAUUGGGCUUUGGCUUAGAUGCCUACGUUUGUGUGGGGACAAAGUCUAAGGGAGCAGUACAUGCGUGGGUGGUCACUAUCAGUAUCGAAGGAACCGUAGUCUUUUGGGAAAGUCUGAAUGGACACAGGUAUAUUCAUCUUCCAAUUGAUCCCAAUGCUCCACCAAUGGACAAACAGCAUCGCCCUAAAUACCCAUACAAAUCAAUUGGAUGUGUGUUCAACCAUGUGUCGUUUUAUGCCAAUAACCAGCCAUCAGACUCAGUUGAGGUGUGCAAAUUUAAUCUGAAAAAUGAGGCAGACUGGAAAUCAAUGUCCCAGGAUGCUGUUCUGUCGGUGUGUGGACCAGGGGCGUCCCUCGCCUGGCCCUCCAUGCCCCCUCUUUGUUGCUCCAGCCUGGACUCCGCCCUGGUCAGCAAUGACCUGGAACAACAGCUGAGGGUCAUGGUGUAUGAACACAGAAGGGAUUUGGGACUUACCACAAACUUUGAUGAUCAAUUGAGUUAUCUCUUAACACCAGCAUUAGCAGCAUAUGAACUGGAAAGAGUCACAGGAAUCUCAGCUGGGAACGAGGAAUUCCAAGACUCUAUCAAACAGGCUGUACCAGAUGGCCAUACCUUUAAGGGAUACCCUAUUCAAUUUUCUCACAGAAAUGCCAAACGAGCCUUUGCUACAUGCUUGAAGUAAAUGUUUGUUAAGAUUACCUCUAUACUUAGAUCUCCUGUUUGUGAGGAAAUCAUCAAUUGCAGAGGAGACCAUGUACGUUUGGGUGUCAGAGUGAAAGUUUACCCAUACCCUGAAAAUGCUAUUGCCACAUGGAUAAUGUUUGCCUGCAAAUAUAAAUCUGUGUUGUAGAAUCACCCUCUGAAGAAGAGACUAAUGAGUGUAUCCUAGUUAAACGUUUCACAAAAUCAUAUGAUUGUGUAAAUAGUCAAAUGUGUCUAAAUCAUAGUGUGCAAGGGUUAUUGCAUGAAAUGUUAGUUCAAAUACUUCUGUUAUAAGCACAGACUUAUUUUCGGUUUCAUCUGUAAGAAAUGCAAUGUACCGGUACAUGUGUUAUGAGUUCAUUACAUUUAUCUUUAAAGAAUGUUGAACUUGAACUUUGUUUUUAUGUAUCAGGUAAUGUAUGUAGUUCAGAAUAUUUUUAAUUAGCAUUAAGUGCCAAUUUAAAGAAAUCCAGCAUUUCUUUGUGUGAAUGAUUUAUAGAAAUGAGAAAUAAGUUCAAGAAUGAUAUAACAAGAUGGAUACUGAUUAUUGAAUGUUAACUCACAAGUUAGAAAUAUUUUAAGGACCAAGAGCUUUGGCUACAUGUACCUUACUUUGGGCUCAGUUUGCAUCAAAGUUACAAUUAACUGCUUUUUUGAACAAAUUAUUUUUUUUAUGUUGUGGGGGUGUGUUGUUUUAUAUAUAAAGUACCGUAUUAUUGUAGGUACUAAUGGCAGUUGUUCUCUGUGAUAAUUGUUUUCCUUGGUUGCAUAGUGCUAAAAGCUUAUAAAGUUGUUGUCAUUUGCAUUUAUUUUAUUGUUUAGUUUAUGAUCAAAUAGAGGUUGCUUUAAUCACUUAAAAAUUCUAGUAUCUCAGACACAUAUUGUAUAUAUACAUGUACAUCUUUAUAUAAAUAUAUGCUAUAUGACAUACGUGAAGAAGGAAGACAAGUUUUGUUGUUUAUUUGGCUCAAUAUUAAAAUUAUAUUUCAUCC
rnacentral:misc_RNA from 1 species